rnacentral:rRNA from 1 species
GACGAACGCUGGCGGCGUGCUUAACACAUGCAAGUCGAACGGUGAAGCGCCUUCCUUUUUGGUGGGUGUGGAUGAGUGGCGAACGGGUGAGUAACACGUGAGUAACCUGCCCCCUUCUUCUGGAUAACCGCAUGAAAGUGUGGCUAAUACGGGAUAUUCUGGGUCUGUCGCAUGAUGGGUCUGGGAAAGAUAUUGUUUCGGUGGGGGAUGGGCUCGCGGCCUAGCAGCUUGUUGGUGGGGUGGUGGCCUACCAAGGCGGUGACGGGUAGCCGGCCUGAGAGGGUGGACGGUCACACUGGGACUGAGACACGGCCCAGACUCCUACGGGAGGCAGCAGUGGGGAAUAUUGCACAAUGGGCGCAAGCCUGAUGCAGCGACGCCGCGUGAGGGAUGGAGGCCUUCGGGUUGUGAACCUCUUUCGCCAGUGAGGCAGGCCUGCCUCGUUUGUGGGUGGGUUGACGGUAGCUGGAUAAGAAGCGCCGGCUAACUACGUG